UUUCCGUAGGUGAACCUGCGGAAGGAUCAUUAUGGUAUAACCGAGUUGCGAGCGCUGGUGCUGACCCGGAAGGUCGCUCACGCCCUAGUCCCCCCACACACACCCACCUACCCCCUAUGUGCACCACGGCGUGGGUCACCCUUUGGCUUGUUCGGUGGGGGGCUUACGUUUUCACACAAACUUUGUAUGCAGUGUAGAAUGUAUUUUUUGUUUUUGCGAUCACGCAAUCAAUACAACUUUCAACAACGGAUCUCUUGGCUCUG
rnacentral:misc_RNA from 1 species